CAGUCGCCACGGUAAUACGUAGGGUGCAAGCGUUAAUCGGAAUUACUGGGCGUAAAGCGUGCGCAGGCGGUUAUAUAAGACAGAUGUGAAAUCCCCGGGCUCAACCUGGGAACUGCAUUUGUGACUGUAUAGCUAGAGUACGGCAGAGGGGGAUGGAAUUCCGCGUGUAGCAGUGAAAUGCGUAGAUAUGCGGAGGAACACCGAUGGCGAAGGCAAUCCCCUGGGCCUGUACUGACGCUCAUGCACGAAAGCGUGGGGAGCAAACAGGAUUAGAUACCCCUGUAGUCCCUGUCUCUUAUAA
rnacentral:rRNA from 1 species